rnacentral:rRNA from 1 species
AUUGAACGCUGGCGGCAUGCCUUACACAUGCAAGUCGAACGGUAACGGGCCUUCGGGUGCCGACGAGUGGCGAACGGGUGAGUAAUACAUCGGAACGUGCCCGAUCGUGGGGGAUAACGAGGCGAAAGCUUUGCUAAUACCGCAUACGAUCUACGGAUGAAAGCAGGGGACCGCAAGGCCUUGCGCGGACGGAGCGGCCGAUGGCAGAUUAGGUAGUUGGUGGGAUAAAAGCUUACCAAGCCGACGAUCUGUAGCUGGUCUGAGAGGAUGAUCAGCCACACUGGGAGUGAAACACGGCCCAGACUCCUGCGGGAGGCAGCAGUGGGGAAUUUUGGGCAAUGGGGGCGAGCCUGAUCCAGCCAGGGCGAGUGUAGGAUGAAGGCGUUCGGGUUGUAAACUGCUUUUGUACGUAACGAAAAGCCUUCGUUUAAUACAGGAGGGUAAUGACGGUACCGGAAGAAUAAGCACCGGCUAACUACGUG